rnacentral:tRNA from 1 species
GCUGUGGCUCAGUGGUAAAGUGCUUGCCUUGAAUGUGUGAGGCACUGGGUUCAAUCCUCAGCACAACA